ACUCUUUAGACCACAGGUUGCAUCGUAUGGAGAUACUUUGUGAACCACUUUUAAAUGAUUUAGGAUAUCUUCCUUCUAAACCGACCUACCAAAAUUUGCGAUGUCUCCUGUAGACAGACCGACCAUCUAUUGACCGACUGUAUUGCGACAUCUCUGCAUCACCCUAGCCCUGAUGAAGAGGCGAUACUCCCCAUAAGCCUCUAAACGUUGGCACCUCUGUCUGUACCCACGAGACAGUUUGGAAGGGUUCUCUGUUGCACCUUUUUGUCGCUUUAUUAUAUAUACAAUUUUUUGAGUUUGUCUUAUCUUGAGUGAUGCUUAGUGCCGUUGAUGGUCUCUUACCCUAGGUUGUGCCUUCUCCCCCACUUGGUCAGUUGGAUGUUUUGUUGUUCAUGCUGUUAACACUCACUUUGAUACGUUGUCUACGAACAACACCAUUGAAAUAAAAUUUGAUAUUUUUGAUA